GCCUGUUUGCCUCAGUUUCUCUAUCUAUAAAAUAGGCUGUAUCUUUGCUAAGAAAAUCUCAAAUGGGGUCAUGAAGAGAUGGAUGAGGUUGAGAACAGCUGAACAACAACCCCUCCCCAAGCACAACCCGGCCCCAUUAGAAUGUAAAAUACCUGAAGGGACUGGGAUUGUUUUUGCCUUUGUUUGAAUCUCCAACACUUAGCCCAGUGCCUGUACUUCUCAGCAAACAGAAUGCUUGCUGACUGGGCUUGACUAGAAACACUAGAUUUUCUGCCCAAUUCAAGCAUUUGUUGGCUUUCUACAAAAGCCAUGCUACUUUGCUCAGGAUCAUCUUUUUUCUAGAGCAAAUAACAAAGACUAAUAGAUCAUCAGUUGUGAAAAAAAGCAGCCAUCCACUCCCCCAAAUCUCAGACAUGUAGGAUCCACAUUUUAACUGGCUGGGAGAUCCCAGUGGAAUGAGAAUGAUGGUGCUGCCCACUGAUGAAGUUGCACACGCCUAAGGAAGAGAUCUCCUUAAAGCAGAAGCCAUCAACAGCCCAGGAGCUUAUGAUGAAAGCAAUGAAGUUCAGAGUAGAAAAAGAACUGCACAGACUUGGAAUUGAAAGGGAUAUUGAAUAACAUCUAGUCCAACACUCAGUUUACAGAAGAGGAAAUGUGGAACUCUAGAGAGGUUAAGUGACUUGCCAAAAGUUACAUAGGCGAUGGGGUCAAUAUUCACACCUAGAUCAUAUGAUUCAAAUCCAAUGCCCUUUCCGUUCCUUAGAUCCCAC
rnacentral:lncRNA from 1 species